rfam:Hordeum vulgare subsp. vulgare, WGS project CAJW01000000 data, contig: morex_contig_138380
UAUAUACUCCCACCAUCUGAAAAUACUUAUCAUAGAAAUAGAUGUAUCUAGAUGUAUUUUAGUUCUAGAUACAUUCAUUUUUAUACAUUUGUGCAACAUGUAAUUUCGGACGGAGGGAGUAUUAG